rnacentral:rRNA from 1 species
UACGUAGGGUGCAAGCGUUGUCCGGAAUUAUUGGGCGUAAAGAGCUCGUAGGCGGUCUGUCGCGUCUGCUGUGAAAACUCGGGGCUUAACCCCGGGCCUGCAGUGGGUACGGGCAGACUAGAGUGCGGUAGGGGAGACUGGAAUUCCUGGUGUAGCGGUGAAAUGCGCAGAUAUCAGGAGGAACACCGGUGGCGAAGGCGGUUCUCUGGGCCUUACCUGACGCUGAGGAGCGAAAGCGUGGGGAGCAAACAGG